UGGGGAAUUUUGGACAAUGGGCGCAAGCCUGAUCCAGCCAUGCCGCGUGCGGGAAGAAGGCCUUCGGGUUGUAAACCGCUUUUUGNCAGGGAAGAAAUCUUCUGAGUUAAUACCUCGGGAGGAUGACGGUACCUGAAGAAUAAGCACCGGCUAACUACGUGCCAGCAGCCGCGGUAAUACGUAGGGUGCAAGCGUUAAUCGGAAUUACUGGGCGUAAAGCGUGCGCAGGCGGUUUUGUAAGACAGAGGUGAAAUCCCCGGGCUCAACCUGGGAACUGCCUUUGUGACUGCAAGGCUUGAGUGCGGCAGAGGGGGAUGGAAUUCCGCGUGUAGCAGUGAAAUGCGUAGAUAUGCGGAGGAACACCGAUGGCGAAGGAAUCCCCUGGGCCUGCACUGACGCUCAUGC
rnacentral:rRNA from 1 species